CUUGCGACCAUAUCAUGUUGAAACACCGGUUCUCGUACGAUCACCGAAGUUAAGCAACGUAUAGUCUGGUCCGUACUAUAUGAGUGACCGUUUGGGAAUAUCAGAUGCGGU